rnacentral:rRNA from 1 species
GACGAACGCUGGCGGCGUGCCUAAUACAUGCAAGUAGAACGCUGAAGGAGGAGCUUGCUUCUCUGGAUGAGUUGCGAACGGGUGAGUAACGCGUAGGUAACCUGCCUGGUAGCGGGGGAUAACUAUUGGAAACGAUAGCUAAUACCGCAUAAUAGUAGAUGUUGCAUGACAUUUGCUUAAAAGGUGCAAUUGCAUCACUACCAGAUGGACCUGCGUUGUAUUAGCUAGUUGGUGGGGUAACGGCUCACCAAGGCGACGAUACAUAGCCGACCUGAGAGGGUGAUCGGCCACACUGGGACUGAGACACGGCCCAGACUCCUACGGGAGGCAGCAGUAGGGAAUCUUCGGCAAUGGACGGAAGGCUGACCGAGCAACGCCGCGUGAGUGAAGAAGGUUUUCGGAUCGUAAAGCUCUGUUGUAAGAGAAGAACGAGUGUGAGAGUGGAAAGUUCACACUGUGACGGUAUCUUACCAGAAAGGGACGGCUAACUACGUG